GACGAACGCUGGCGGCGUGCCUAACACAUGCAAGUCAAGCGAGUGAAUCUCCUUCGGGAGUGAAGCUAGCGGCGGACGGGUGAGUAACACGUGGGCAACCUGCCUCAUAGAGGGGAAUAGCCUUCCGAAAGGAAGAUUAAUACCGCAUAAGAUUGUAGCUUCGCAUGAAGUAGCAAUUAAAGGAGCAAUCCGCUAUGAGAUGGGCCCGCGGCGCAUUAGCUAGUUGGUGAGGUCACGGCUCACCAAGGCGACGAUGCGUAGCCGACCUGAGAGGGUGAUCGGCCACAUUGGGACUGAGACACGGCCCAGACUCCUACGGGAGGCAGCAGUGGGGAAUAUUGCACAAUGGGGGAAACCCUGAUGCAGCAACGCCGCGUGAGUGAUGACGGCCUUCGGGUUGUAAAGCUCUGUCUUCAGGGACGAUAAUGACGGUACCUGAGGAGGAAGCCACGGCUAACUACGUGCCAGCCGCCGCGGUAAGAC
rnacentral:rRNA from 1 species